rnacentral:lncRNA from 1 species
GCUGGAAGAGGAAGGUGUAUAGGUAACUUUUGCUUAGAGAGGCAGCUCAGUAAUGGUUCUGUGUUUCAUCAAAUGGGUCUGAUGGACAGCAGAGCUAUCCUCACAAAGAACCUCUUGUCAAUGCCCUGGCAGAUGCUGCUGGAUGUUGCCCCAGCUGGAUGAGGAGGCUGCUGGCAAGUUCUUAUCUUUGGGUACUGGUUACGGGUCUGCCAAGAUGCGGGGGAAGAUGUGUUCAUUGCUCACAGUAACCAGAGCAGAGUCCUUCCAUAUGGAGCAGGAGGAGAGUGACUGAGACCCCUCAGAACAGUAUAGAAGCUGAAGAGCAAUAAGGAGUCAUGAUUGAGUUUUGCUUCUCUCGAGCAGCACAGCUGUGAGACUGAAAGUUCUCCAUAGCUUACUUGAAUCUGGGAGACAAAUUAUAGCAUACUGAGAUAUGUUCUUGUUUUGUCGAAGUCUUAGCAAGGUGUGGGAAUGGGCUGGAAGCUCUUCUGCCUCUUCAUGCUGCACUGCCUCCAGAUCACAACCUGGUAACUGCUUUAACCUUGUUACUUCUGCAUGAGCUCUUGCAUUACUGUGUGCCUCACUGCAAAGCUGAUGGAAAAUGCGUCUCAAAGGCAGAAGGAAUAUAAUCCUCCUGGGAUAGAACGGACACAGUCAUCGUGCAUCGCUGCAGCUUUCCAUGGCCACUCAUGUUUGUGGGCUACACCAUGUGCCAAUACCCAAAUACCUACCACUGCAUGCAAGGACAAAGCUGUCCAACUGCUGUGAUGCUGGCAUGAGAGCACUAGGGACUCAUUCUGUAAGAAGUUUGAGACAGUUACCAUCUACUCGUUCCUCCCUGUUUCUAAUUAGUUAUGGCACUGGCAUAAAGCGGGGUCUGUGUCUAUUAAGUCUUCAUCUGCUCCUCCUUAUUCCCACAUGAAGUCAUUAUCCUUCAUGUCAUCCCAACUGUGCGCUAUGGAAGUGAUUUAGGAUGUCUCAAAACAGAGCAUAAUGACCUCAGGUAUUGAAUAAAUGGAAGGAAAAGAGCUCUUGUGUCACACACAGCUGGUAACAAGCAGAGGGAGAUGGGGGAAAGGAACUGGGGAGAAGCUGAUGCAUCUGUGGAGGAAUUUGAAGAACAAUCAUGAGAUUUUUACACAUGGCAGAUGUCUAAGAUAUUUUGACGGAUUCUUCUUGGAGCCUCUAAGCCACAGCAGGGCCCUGCCACAUAUUUUGUUCUUCAUAUAAUGAUGCUGUGCCAUUUGUACGGCAGUAUUGCUGUGCUCUUGGGUGGUACCAGCAGGACGAGAAGUGUGGUUAACAGUUGGCUUCGAGGGCCAGGCAGAAAUAUCAGCUUGCAGUUCAGUCCCUAGCCAAGAAUGAGGCACUCAAGAGCAAGGAAACAGAUUUCUUUUCUAAACAAGGGAUCAAAGCGUGAUGGACAAACACUAAUAUCUUCCAGCCACGUGAAGCAACAAGAGGUGGUUUGGUAGUAACAGCUCGUGGUAAUCACAGGGACAGUGAGUACCAAUGGAAGAUGUCACAGGGUAUCUUGCCACGCUUCUACUACAGACAAAGCUCCAGUUCAAAUGCUGAAAGAAAUGAGCUUUGACCUGCAAGGCAGUGCUGCUCACCGGGCCCUUCCCAGCCUGGCUGCUGCGGUCAUACUUUCAUCAUCUUCCUUCAGCUGUUGAAUGGGGUUUCAACCUUUGCCAACAGGCACCACUUGUGCAACUUACAGCUGAGCUUGCCUUGGAAACACUGCCAGGCAGAGACCACCCGUGCUGAUGGUGCCCUUCAUCUGGAGCAUGUAGCUAUUAAAUAAUACUGAUUGCUUCUGAAGGGGCAUCCUGUGCUUACUCCAUCUGGCUUUUUCUUCCUCAAUAACAACCUUCUGAGCCCUGGUCCUUCUGAUACUCCUAGGUCUUUGUUAUUCUCUGGGCAGGGGCAGGUGCCUCCUGUGUUAGCUGGAUCCCAGUUCCUUUGCUCCACUUUCAUGAUUUAAUCUCAUGCAUUCCUCUGGGGCUGUGAGAACCUCCUGCUUCCACCUCAGCCUACAGGUGAAAGCAGUGAGAAGCUACACCUUGUAAUUAUAGUUAUUAUACCAACUAAUAGAGCUCUGCAUAGCACAGAUACCGUCAGCACCUGUCACUGUUGGGAAGCACUGUGUCUCCAGCCCUGCUGUCAGACUGGGCACAGAUCUGCUGCCCAGAGCUGAGGGGUGAGCCCUGACACUGCCAGCUUGCACGUGGGGCCAAAUUCAUCUCUGGGCUUCAGGAAACUUCUGGAUGUGGAUCUUGAGUAUGAGAGGACAAUGAUGCUGUGCCAGAAGGCACAGUUUAAGUGUGCUGCCAGCUGCCUUCUGCCUCAUUCUUUUUGCCCAUCCAAACGGCAGGCACCGUGCUGCUGCUCACAGCCUCCUUUCUCUCCCCCUUCUGUCUCAACGGCAAAUUGCUGCUGUGCCUCUCUGAGGCUGAUCUUAAAAAGGUGAGAAGCUCUCAUUAUGCAGAUGUUUUCAAACAAGCCUUUUAGGAGGGGAGGAGGAAGAGUCAGAGAGUCACAUCAUCGAUGUGACCGAACAGGGAUAGAGGUAAUUGGAGCUCACUCUUUGCACCAUCUUCUGCUGAAUGCCUGUGUGAACCCCAGGCUGGAGAAGCAAUUUAGCUCACUGCCUGUAUAAAAUGAAACUGUAGUAGCUUCUUGGGUGAACUUUACAGUUAACAAAGGAUGAUCUGGUCUUGAUCAAAGAUGUUCUGUUCCUGGAGGACUGGAGUUCAAGCACAAGUCUCUGCUUGUGAUAAGAGAAGGGGUUUCCGCAUCACCAAAGGUAAACCCUGAGGAGCCUGAGCUCAAACUCCACUUUCACGUCAGCACUGACUCUACACUUGAUCUCUUCCUUUAAUUCUCCCUAUUGUGUACUGCCCUCUGCUAGGCUGAGACAGCCUUCCCCAUAGCACAAGUGAGGUGUGAUGUCACCAUCAGCCUUUUUUGCUGUGUGCUCAUGGGACACAUACAUUUCUGCCAUGUUCUCCAACCAGACCGGCUCCGAGCAGUAGGGUUGGGACCACAGAGAAAGAGAGAGCAGCUCUGGGUGGUGAGCAGCCAUCGCCUCAUCCCUCCAGGCCUGAUGUAACCCAUGCAGCUCUGGAAGGCUGAUGGAGCUGUGGGGGAGCUGCUGACACCACAUAGCCAUCAGCCAUAGGAUCAGCUGGUGCUGAGGACUGCUGUUAGCUCUAUAUCAGUGUGGCUGCACUGAAUAAUCACUAUGAUGUGUGGGAAGUGGGAGAGAGAAUGCGGGUUCCUAAUGAGCAGCACAGGGUCGCCUGAGGUGAGUGAUCCGUGGCUGCAUUCCCUACCUGUGCCACGGGGAUGGUGCUUCUGUUCUCACCUCGGUUUAUCUUCUCUGUUUGGAUUUCAAGCUCCUCAGGGCUGUGUCUUGCUGCAUGUAUGUACAGUUCCUUGCUUAAUAGAGUCAUGAUCCAAAGUGAAGCCUCCAGGCACUCCUGUAUAUUAUAUCCUUACUAAUUUCACAAGAGGUUGCAAUCAAAUUCCUUUAUCGGGGGGGGGGAAAAAAAGUCCUAGAGAAGAAUAAAGAAAGCUAUUAAAAACUGAGGAGCAUUCUACUGAAGCAGAAAUAAUGGCACUUUGUCCCAAAAUGUAUAAAAUAUGUAUUGCAAUUAAACUCUCUAUUGGCAAAUUGCUCUCCAAUUAAAAAACACAGAAGCUUGAGUGAGGCAAUUAGAAUAAUAGUAGUGUUAAUUAUAGCUUGAUGGAUUCUGCAUGCUGUCAGCAAUUACCUUCCAAGUGUGCACUUUCUGAACCGAAUCCAAAUCCACAAAAAGACACGACAGAAUUAGAAAUCUCUUCCGUGUUGGCAUGCCUUUGCCACUUUAAAAUUUGUUUUCCUAAAUACUUUUGUAAGCUAUUUAAUUAGGCUUGAUGAGGUUCAAGGCAGAAGCAUCCUAUGCUCCGUACACAACUCCGUAGCACAGACUCGGGCUUUGGGACAAGGCAGGAGCAUUGCGAGUGCACCCAUUUCCCACUGUGUGCUGGUGGGGACUGAUCCCCAGUGCACAUGCAAUGAGAUUUAGCAUGGAUCAUAGAAUUGUUUGAGUUGCAAGGGACCUUAAAGGCCAUCUGGUCCAGCUCCUCUGCAGUGUACAGGGAUACCUACAGCUCCAUCGGGUGCUCUGAGCCCAUCCAGCCUCACCUUGGCUGUCUCCAGGGACAGGGCGUCCCCCAUCCCUCUGAGUGAUCUGUUUCAGUGCUUCACCCCCCCUUAUUGUAAAGUAACAACAGGACCUCCUAAAGUGUCUCCCCCUCUUUCUUACAGGCACCCUUAAGAUACUGAAAGGCCAUUAUCAGGUCACCCAGGUUGGUCAGGGGCUGCUUUCUCCUAAUUUGCAGACAGCUUUUAGAUAAACAGAAGGACUAAAUGCAAGGAUUCUCCUAUUUUCUCCAGUUCUUGGAGGCUGAAACACAACCCCGACCCACUGUGAAUCUCUUCUCUUCUUGAUGUUCUCCCUUGGAUUAACAAAAACCUAAUCCCUCAGGUUCUACCUCUGCCUGAAAACAGUGCCCAUUGAUUCUUUGGAGCUGUAUGGAGGCAUGGCAGCCAUCCUGAUCCGAUAGGAUCAUCUGUGCUGCUGAAUGUCACUAGAGAAGUUGUUGGAUGGGAUACCAGAGGGUCCUGGUGACCCCAGGGUGGGGUGAGGGAAGCUCUUGCAGAGGCUUGGGUUUUCUAUUUGGUGUUGAUCUACCAUUGGAUCAUGGAACCCAUCUGGAUGUGAUGCCUGGAGCGUGACCAAAGGUGCUUGGAUGCUCUACACUUAGCUCAGGAGCAGCCUCUGGGUGGGCGUGGAUGCCCCGACAUUAACUUUGCUGCAUCCAUUGGAUGAGUCAUGUGCCACCGACUGGAGCGGAGUGCUCUCAUAUCUGCGCAGGGCUUGCCCCCUCCAAUGGUAGAACCCGGGGCUUUCAAACAUGGGGUGAAUUUGGGCAGCUGCUUGGGUUUAAGGUGAGCUGCUCACGUUGUUGUCCUGCACUGCCUCCUUGAAGGUUACGUCCGCGGAUGAUGCUAUAACAUGAGGAAGGUUACGCGGAGGCUGGGGGAGCUCUCGGGCCGGGUCCCCCCUGCGCGCUGCCGGCCGGAGAGAGGCGGGAGCGGCCCCUUUAAGAGGAGCAGAGCGGGGGGGCGAGGGCCGCCCGCGUUCACACCUGGAGUGGGAAAGGGAGGCGGGCCUUAGCGCCUUUGAUUGACGGGCAGCCGGCAUCAAUGAGGCGCCGAGUGGGGGGGGCGAUUCUGGCCAAUAGCGG